UACGAAGGGGGCUAGCGUUGUUCGGAAUUACUGGGCGUAAAGCGCACGUAGGCGGCUGAUUAAGUCAGGGGUGAAAUCCCGAGGCUCAACCUCGGAACUGCCCUUGAUACUGGCCAUCUCGAGUCCGGAAGAGGUUAGUGGAAUUCCCAGUGUAGAGGUGAAAUUCGUAGAUAUUGGGAAGAACACCAGUGGCGAAGGCGGCUAACUGGUCCGGUACUGACGCUGAGGAGCGAAAGCUAGGGGAGCAAACGGG
rnacentral:rRNA from 1 species